GACAGAGGGUGCAAACGUUGUUCGGAAUCACUGGGCGUAAAGCGCACGUAGGCGGAUUGCUAAGUCAGGGGUGAAAUCCUGGAGCUCAACUCCAGAACUGCCUUUGAUACUGGCGACCUUGAGUCCGGGAGAGGUGAGUGGAACUGCGAGUGUAGAGGUGAAAUGCGUAGAUAUUGGGAGGAACACCAGUGGCGAAGGCGGCUCACUGGACUGGUACUGACGCUGAGGCGCGAAAGCGUGGGGAGCAAACAG
rnacentral:rRNA from 1 species